AGCUAUGAUGUUGUAAUUUGCGUCUGACCGGUAGUUAUGGCGACAGUUGCCUGCUGUCAAUAUGUCAAACUGCUAAAUUGUAGACAACUUCUCUCUGACUGCU